rnacentral:misc_RNA from 1 species
CUCCACCUCAUCUUCAAGAGCUUGUUUUAAGGGGUGGUCUAGUAGAAUUGCCUAAUUGGCUUCUCUCCAUGGAAAACCUAACCACUCUAGUACUAUGUUGUUCUAAUCUCUUGGAGAAACCAUCUUCAGAUCUUCAGUUUCUUCCCAAAUUAAAACAUCUUAGGCUUUGGGAAGCUUACAGGGCAAGGUCAUUGGUAAAGAGUUUUGUGAGGCAGGUGGAUUUCCGGAGCUAGAAACUUUGAUAAUUGCUUCAAGUGACCUAGUGGAAUGGACUGAGAUUGUGAAUGAGACUUUUCCAAGUUUGAGGCGUCUUCAAUUUUGGAAUCAUUAUAAUUUGAGAUUUCUGCCUGAAGGUUUACAAAACAUUUCUACUAUUCAAGAGUUAUACAUAACUCAUUUGCACGGAGACCUUUCAAGGAGAUUGAGCAGUAAAGAAAAUUACAAGAUCAAGAAAAUUCCAAAACUCUAUUUUUGGGACAUGUCAAGUUCCUGAAGAAGUCACUGAAAUUCUCUAAUGCCCCAUCAAUAAAUGAAGGUAAAAAAAAUGAUCAUUUUGAGAUUUAAGAAAUGCUAGAAUUGGAUUCAGGACGGGGGAAUUGCUAUCAUUUUUUUUUUUUAAAUUAUCAAGUAUUCAAGACGUUAUAAUGCUUGCAAUGAAUGCUAGCUGUUUUUUCUUUUUUUUUUUAA